CCUACGGGAGGCAGCAGUGGGGAAUAUUGCACAAUGGGCGCAAGCCUGAUGCAGCCAUGCCGCGUGUAUGAAGAAGGCCUUCGGGUUGUAAAGUACUUUCAGCGGGGAGGAAGGGAGUAAAGUUAAUACCUUUGCUCAUUGACGUUACCCGCAGAAGAAGCACCGGCUAACUCCGUGCCAGCAGCCGCAGUAAUACGGAGGGUGCAAGCGUUAAUCGGAAUUACUGGGCGUAAAGCGCACGCAGGCGGUUUGUUAAGUCAGAUGUGAAAUCCCCGGGCUCAACCUGGGAGCUGCAUCUGAUACUGGCAAGCUUGAGUCUCGUAGAGGGGGGUAGAAUUCCAGGUGUAGCGGUGAAAUGCGUAGAGAUCUGGAGGAAUACCGGUGGCGAAGGCGGCCCCCUGGACGAAGACUGACGCUCAGGUGCGAAAGCGUGGGGAGCAAACAGGAUUAGAUACCCUGGUAGUCCACGCCGUAAACGAUGUCGACUUGGAGGUUGUGCCCUUGAGCGUGCGUCGNGCGUACGACGUAGUCGACCGCGNGGNGCGCGCGAGUAACGUAAGUAGAGUGAGNGNGAGAGNGCGAGACGACGACGAGGGAGGAGG
rnacentral:rRNA from 1 species